rnacentral:rRNA from 1 species
AGUGAACGCUGGCGGUAGGCCUAACACAUGCAAGUCGAACGGCAGCACAGUAAGAGCUUGCUCUUACGGGUGGCGAGUGGCGGACGGGUGAGGAAUACAUCGGAAUCUACUUUUUCGUGGGGGAUCACGUAGGGAAACUUACGCUAAUACCGCAUACGACCUACGGGUGAAAGCAGGGGAUCUUCGGACCUUGCGCGAUUGAAUGAGCCGAUGUCGGAUUAGCUAGUUGGCGGGGUAAAGGCCCACCAAGGCGACGAUCCGUAGCUGGUCUGAGAGGAUGAUCAGCCACACUGGAACUGAGACACGGUCCAGACUCCUACGGGAGGCAGCAGUGGGGAAUAUUGGACAAUGGGCGCAAGCCUGAUCCAGCCAUACCGCGUGGGUGAAGAAGGCCUUCGGGUUGUAAAGCCCUUUUGUUGGGAAAGAAAGGCAGCAGGUUAAUACCCCGCUGUUCUGACGGUACCCAAAGAAUAAGCACCGGCUAACUUCGUG